AUACGGAGGAUGCAAGCGUUAUCCGGAUUUAUUGGGUUUAAAGGGUGCGUAGGCGGUUUGCUAAGCGGGAGGUGAAAUGCCGGCGCUCAACGUCGGAAGUGCCUCCCGAACUGGUGGACUGGAAUGACUCUGCCGUGGGAGGAAUGUGUAGUGUAGCGGUGAAAUGCUUAGAGAUUACACAGAACACCGAUUGCGAAGGCAUCUCACGAAGGGUUGAUUGACGCUGAGGCACGAAAGCGUGGGGAUCAAACAGGAUUAGAUACCCUGGUAGUCCACGCAGUAAACGAUGAUGGCUAACCGCUGGUUUAUUCGGAUCAGUGGCCAAGCGAAAGCGAUAAGCCAUCCACCUGGGGAGUAGACCGCAAGGUUGAAACUCAAAUGAAUUGACGGGG
rnacentral:rRNA from 1 species